GACGAACGCUGGCGGCGUGCCUAAUACAUGCAAGUAGAACGCUGAAGGAGGAGCUUGCUUCUCUGGAUGAGUUGCGAACGGGUGAGUAACGCGUAGGUAACCUGCCUGGUAGCGGGGGAUAACUAUUGGAAACGAUAGCUAAUACCGCAUAAUAGUAGAUGUCGCAUGACAUUUGCUUAAAAGGUGCAAUUGCAUCACUACCAGAUGGACCUGCGUUUUAUUAGCUAGUUGGUGAGGUAACGGCUCACCAAGGCAACGAUACAUAGCCGACCUGAGAGGGGGAGCGGCCACGAGGGGAUGGAGACACGGCCCAGACUCCUAAGGGAGGCAGCAGUAGGGAAUCUUGGGGAAUGGACGGAAGUCUGACCGAGCAACGCAGCGUGAGUGAAGAAGGUUUUCGGAUCGUAAAGCUCUGUUGUAAGAGAAGAACGAGUGUGAGAGUGGAAAGUUCACGCUGUGACGGUAUCUGAACAGAAAGGGACGGCUAACUACGUG
rnacentral:rRNA from 1 species